rnacentral:rRNA from 1 species
UACGGGGGGAGCAAGCGUUGUUCGGAUUUACUGGGCGUAAAGGGCGCGUAGGCGGCCUCUGCAAGUCGACUGUGAAAUCUCCGGGCUUAACCCGGAACGGUCAGCCGAUACUGCAGGGCUAGAGUGCAGAAGGGGCAACUGGAAUUCUCGGUGUAGCGGUGAAAUGCGUAGAUAUCGAGAGGAACACCGAUGGCGAAGGCAGGUCUCUGGGCUGACGCUGACGCUCAUGCACGAAAGCGUGGGGAGCAAACAGG